GAUGAACGCUGGCGGCGUGCCUAACACAUGCAAGUCGAACGGAGAUUACGGACGGAAGUUUUCGGAUGGAAGCCUGUAAUUCUUAGUGGCGGACGGGUGAGUAACGCGUGGGCAACCUGCCCUAUACAGGGGGAUAGCAGCUGGAAACGGCUGGUAAGACCGCAUAAGUCGGUUAAAUCGCAUGAUUUGAUCGGGAAAUGAGCAAUCAGGUAUAGGAUGGGCCCGCGUCCGAUUAGCCAGUUGGCAGGGUAAAAGCCUACCAAAGCGACGAUCGGUAGCCGGACUGAGAGGUCGGACGGCCACAUUGGGACUGAGACACGGCCCAAACUCCUACGGGAGGCAGCAGUGGGGGAUAUUGCACAAUGGAGGAAACUCUGAUGCAGCGACGCCGCGGGAGUGAAGAAGUAUUUCGGUAUGUAAAGCUCUAUCAGCAGGGAAGAUGAUGACGGUACCUGACUAAGAAGCCCCGGCUAACUACGU
rnacentral:rRNA from 1 species